CAUUAUAAACGUCGAGUAAUACGGCGUACGAUCUAACCGUGAACGAGAACCGGAAGAAUUUAAGAAUGUAAACAACGAAGAGAUAUGCAUCGAAAGACCGUAUUUCUUCAGCUUGUUUGGAUGAUUUAACCGAUUCUUACUUGUGUAAAAGUGUAGUAACAUGUUUUUCUGUUAAAUAUGCUCUGUUUGAUUGGAUAAUUCCACUGGAACCGUCGACCGCAGAAUUGAAUAGAUGAUGUGCGAGAACCAAGAAUGGAUUUGCCUGCAUCAUGCGUCAUCACAGUAUAAAGGAUUUUAAUCUAAAAAGACAACCCUGCUCAUUUCAACUGUACAGAUUGCAGUUCAUCUCAUAUGCUGUUAGACUACAUGUAAAUGAUGAAGGAUGUUCAAACCAGUUUCAAAGAGUCCCAAGUCUGAAAUCAUGGUGCUUUUAUUAAGGAGAUCUGUGCAUUUUUCUGUGAUUUGUUGACAUUUGUGGAACUGUUCGGUUUGUAACCAUCUCUCUGACAAUAA